CCUACGGGAGGCAGCAGUGGGGAAUAUUGGACAAUGGGGGGAACCCUGAUCCAGCGACGCCGCGUGAGUGAAGAAGUAUUUCGGUAUGUAAAGCUCUAUCAGCAGGGAAGAAAGAAAUGACGGUACCUGACUAAGAAGCCCCGGCUAACUACGUGCAAGCAGCCGCGGUAAUACGUAGGGGGCAAGCGUUAUCCGGAUUUACUGGGGGGAAAGGAGGCGUAGACGGCGAUGCAAGUCUGAAGUGAAAGGCGGGGGCGCAACCCCCGGACUGCUUUGGAAACUGUAUGGCUGGAGUGCAGGAGAGGUAAGUGGAAUUCCUAGUGUAGCGGUGAAAUGCGUAGAUAUUAGGAGGAACACCAGUGGCGAAGGCGGCUUACUGGACUGUAACUGACGUUGAGGCUCGAAAGCGUGGGGAGCAAACAGGAUUAGAUACCCCUGUAGUC
rnacentral:rRNA from 1 species